UACGUAGGGUGCAAGCGUUGUCCGGAAUUAUUGGGCGUAAAGAGCUCGUAGGCGGUCUGCCGCGUCUGCUGUGAAAACCUAGGGCUUAACUCUGGGCGUGCAGUGGGUACGGGCAGGCUAGAGUGCGGUAGGGGAGACUGGAAUUCCUGGUGUAGCGGUGAAAUGCGCAGAUAUCAGGAGGAACACCGGUGGCGAAGGCGGGUCUCUGGGCCGUAACUGACGCUGAGGAGCGAAAGCAUGGGGAGCGAACAGG
rnacentral:rRNA from 1 species